AGGCUUACUGGGGAACAUGAGAGCUCUCUUGGAUCCUGCAAAGUAGAAGAGAUUCAUUAUGGAUACCACCAAGGGAGAGAGUUGCAAUUAACUGGUGGAAGCUCCAAGAGGGACAUCUGACAGCAGAAACUUGGAACUGUGUUUGGAGCUAGAGAGGAAUGUUCCUGAAGUUGCCACCCAGAUCCUGAAGCAGCGUGUCACUGAGAUUCAGGCACCUUCUAACAAGAAACGAGUGGGAGUUGUGCAUGGAAAAAUGUCUGGAUGUCUGCCUUCUACAGUGUUAUUUAUUCAGUCACAACUUUGGCAAUUGUCUCUUCUUACUUCAUGGUUCUGGGAAACAAGAGGAUUACUCAGCCUUACUCCAAG